UACGGAGGGGGCUAGCGUUGUUCGGAAUUACUGGGCGUAAAGCGCGCGUAGGCGGACCUGCAAGUCGGGGGUGAAAGCCCGAGGCUCGACCUCGGAACUGCCUUCGAUACUGCGGGUCUCGAGUCCGGGAGAGGUGAGUGGAAUUCCUAGUGUAGAGGUGAAAUUCGUAGAUAUUCGCAAGAACACCAGUGGCGAAGGCGGCUCACUGGCCCGGUACUGACGCUGAGGUGCGAAAGCGUGGGGAGCAAACAGG
rnacentral:rRNA from 1 species